CCAGGCGAUUGGACACUGGGACUCUGCCCUAUGCAAAAAGAGGACGGUAGAUGAGGAGAAUGUUAACAGAAUGCAGUCUGUUUACUGAAAACAAAAAAAUAAAUGAAGAAUUUAGACCAUCCCAAACUAGAGAAAAGGCGCAAGUUUCUGAUCUUAGGAGUCCUGUGGGAAUACAACAUAUGAAAACCUGCCACUCACGGUCUCCUGGGGAUGAACUUCACUUCACUCUAGACCCACCGGCAGCCAGUCCUCAGUGAAGCCAAUCUUACUUGUUAAUCAAUUGUAGCCCUGGGCCAAAAAGCCAUUGAAAAAAUCAAUGAGCAAAACGCAGGAUGUGUUUCUUUCUCUUAUUUUUACCUUACUUCUUCCAGAUUCCCAUUUCGUUUUUUCUUCAUUCUCAUUGUAACUUUCUAUCUCUCUUCCACUGACUUGUAAAAUAUGGCUACAUAAAGGUACCAGGAAUACUUUUCAUGGAUUUAUACCCAAUGAAUCUGUUGCUGUCUUCUAAUAAACA